AGACAGGUGCUGCAUGGCUGCGUCAGCUCGUGUCGUGAGAUGUUGGGUUAAGUCCGUAACGAGCGCAACCCUUGUCCUUAGUUACCAGCACGUUAUGGUGGGCACUCUAAGGAGACUGCCGGUGACAACCGGAGGAAGUGGGGAUGACGUCAAGUCAUCAUGGCCCUUACGGCCUGGGCUACACACGUGCUACAAUGGUCGGUACAAAGGGUUGCCAAGCCGCGAGGUGGAGCUAAUCCCAUAAAACCGAUCGUAGUCCGGAUCGCAGUCUGCAACUCGACUGCGUGAAGUCGGAAUCGCUAGUAAUCGUGAAUCAGAAUGUCACGGUGAAUACGUUCCCGGGCCUU
rnacentral:rRNA from 1 species